UUAUUAGAAAAUACAUAUAACAAAAACAUGGAGGAGAUGUUUUCAGCCUGUUGUAACUUGGUGCUUGGUGUCCAUCUUUGGGGUUGUUUUUUUCUCAUCUUUUUAGUUCUAAGUCCUAGUUCUUAAAUGUAUUUGCAUAUUUUCUUCGACUUCAGUUCUGUAUGGUGCAGUGAUCUAAUCAAACAGCUCAGUGAACUCAGUGAGGCUUUUCUUGCUUUCUUUGUGUUAGUACUAGAAUGGGCAACAUCCUUUUAUGAGCUGCUGUAAAUAAUUAAAAUAGCAUAAACCUGUUGUGAUUUUCUACUGAGUUGUCAGAGCGGCCCACAGAAUGAGUCGGUGAACAUCUAAAUCUGCACAAGGAAACAAAGCAAUUUUCCCUGGUUUUAUCUGCUUGUCAGUCUAUGCGAGGCGUGCAGCUUCCUGAGAAUCUGUAGCUUGGACUGGGUUAUUGCAAUUGUGAGGAAGGUCAGAAAAUGCUGAGAUGAUGGGGCUGCACAUAUGAGUAACCUGAAUAAAAAUCUCUCAAAUUAUUUUAAAUAAAUAAAUUCCUACCACAUUAUUUAAUGGUGGCUGUAACUAAAGAGCUCAAACAAAUUUUGAUAAAUCAAGUAAGAAAAAUAAUGCGUUUAAUUAUUCAUGUUAAUAUAUGCUGGGAAAAUAAUUUAUCUUUCUUGUCAGAUUUCAGAUACACAAUGCAGAAGAGGUUUCCAUCAAUUCUGGAAGUUUAUUACAAAUCCAAUGAGUGGUCUGGAAUUCAUGGCAUAAGGGAGAAUGACCAGAUGACAUGGUUAAGCAGCAAGAACUGAACCCUCUGUGCCUGAACUGUUUCUUCUUUUUGAUGAUGCUUUUCACAUCCCUGUUGUGAAGCCACUUGUCACGCUCUAUUUCCCACUGGAUCUGUUUGACAUCUGUAGGAGGCAAGGUGAGAAAUAAGGAGCCGAUGGAUACCUCUGACCAUGAUACGGCAUACAGAUGAAUCAUGUAAAAGUUAAAACUUGACUACUGUAUUUAUAAAAGUUAAUAAAGUCCAGACUGCCUCGUUUUUUUU